rnacentral:rRNA from 1 species
CCGUCUCGACGAGACAACGUUUGGGCGUGUCUCCCUUCUCGGGAGACACUCUCGACCCCACGAACCCUGA